rnacentral:miRNA from 10 species
AUGAUUCAGUAGGUGUGGAAUCUAUUAAGUUGGUGCAAAAGUUAUUGCGGUUUUUGCCAGUUCCAAAACCAAUGGCCAAAACUGCAGUUACUUUUGCACCAACCUAAUAUGUGAAUUUCCUCUCUUCUUACCUU